CACUCGCUACAUUGCACGCAAACACACAUCCCAUGGACCUCUUCUCCUUCCCCUUCCUCUUCCUCGCCCUUCUCUUCCUCUUUCUCUAUGCCAAACAAAAAACCCCCAACAACCACAAAGGCUUCAAGGACUACCCUCUCCUCGGAACCCUACCGGACUUUCUCAAAAACCGACACCGCUUCCUCCAAUGGAGCACCCUAGUCCUCCGCGACUGCCCCACCCACACCGCCGUCUUCUCCCGCCCCUUCAAGUUCCGCGGCGUCAUAACGGCCAACCCUGACAACGUCCAACACAUGCUCAAAACCAACUUCCAGAACUACCCCAAGGGCCAACGCUUCAUCCACCUCCUCCAAGACUUCCUCGGCCAAGGAAUCUUCAACUCCGACGGACACCUCUGGAAGCUUCAACGCAAAAUCGCCAGCCACGAAUUCUCCACCAAAUCGCUCCGUAACUUCAUCGUCCACGCCGUCACGCUCGAACUCCAAACGAGGCUUCUUCCGAUUCUCGCCAAAACCUCCGAAUCAGAUAGCCUCCUCGAUUUGCAGGAUCUUUUAGAGAGAUUCGCCUUCGACAACGUCUGCAAGGUUGCCUUCAACGUCGACCCCGCCUGCCUCGGCGGUGACGGCACCGCCGACGCCGAGUUCAUGCGCGCGUUUGAGGACGCGGCGGUGCUCAGCUCAGGGAGGUUCAUGAGCGUUUUUCCCUUGGCGUGGAAGACGAAGAAGCUCUUCAACUUGGGAACGGAGCGGAGACUGAGAGAAUCAAUCACCACCGUUCACGAGUUCGCUGAUACAAUCAUACGGUCAAGAUUGAACAACUCCAAGGAGGAGGAACAUACGAUGGACCACCAAGAUUUACUCUCGCGCUUCAUCAGAAGCGAGGACCACACGCCGGAGUUUCUCCGCGACGUGGUGAUAAGCUUCAUUCUGGCGGGACGCGAUACGACGUCGUCCGCGCUGAGCUGGUUCUUCUGGAUUCUCUCUUCGAAACCCGACGUGCGGAGGAAGAUUCGCGAGGAAAUCGAAACGGUGCGUUUUGGUUUUGGCGAUGGCGCGUUCGGGUACGAGGAGUUGAAAGAGAUGCAUUACUUACAAGCGGCGAUUACCGAGACUAUGAGGCUGUACCCGCCAGUGCCGGUGGACACGAAGGCGUGCCUUGACGACGACGUUUUGCCGGAUGGGACUAGGGUUGGGAAGGGGUGGUUCAUUACUUACCACACGUACGCGAUGGGGAGAUUGGAGAGCGUGUGGGGGAAAGAUUGUACGGAGUUUAGGCCCGAGAGGUGGUUGGAGAACGGGGUUUGGCGUGGGGAAAGUCCGUUUCGGUUUCCGGUUUUCCAUGCGGGUCCUAGAAUGUGUUUGGGGAAGGACAUGGCUUAUAUUCAGAUGAAGUCGAUCGCUGCUUCGGUUAUGGAGAGGUUUGAGGUUGAGGCGGUGGAUAAGGACACGUGUCCCGAGCACGUCUUGUCUUUGACGCUGAGGAUCAAGGGAGGGUUGCCGGUGAGGGUAAGGGUGAGGGAUGCGUAACACAAGAUCAGAGGGGUCUAGGGCCAACACUUUUUUUCGUCUAGACAAAACUGCAUGUAAGAAGGGUACACAUAUACAGAGUACACCCAAUACUGACGGGUACGAAGAUGGGGACACAAAUUUCAUAUCCGUCGAGUAUGAGAACAUGAAUAGGUAUAAGGUACGAAAAUGAGAAUGAACACAAGGACGGAUAUAGAAAAACACGUAGUUGCCCCAUCCCAUUGCCAUCCCUAUGUAUGUGCUAGAGAAUUAGGUAUUAUUGUCAUAAUGCAUGAUUAUUUAAUAGAAGCAUUCACUGCAAAUACUAACUCAGCUCACUAUUGUUGAGAUAAUGGUCUAUUUCUUCUUAUACAUUGUGCAUGCAUGCAGUUAUAGAUAAACAAAAGAAUCAUGGUAUACACUUUUGUGUAAUAGCUAAAGUGUUACAUUUGUUUGGUGG